UACGUAGGGGGCAAGCGUUGUCCGGAUUUAUUGGGCGUAAAGAGCGUGUAGGCGGCCAUACAGGUCAGCUGUGAAAACUCGAGGCUCAACCUCGAGACGUCGGUUGAAACCGUAUGGCUAGAGUCCGGAAGAGGAGAGUGGAAUUCCCGGUGUAGCGGUGAAAUGCGCAAAUAUCGGGAAGAACACCUAUGGCGAAGGCAGCUCUCUGGGACGGUACUGACGCUGAGACGCGAAAGCGUGGGGAGCGAACAGG
rnacentral:rRNA from 1 species